GCCUAGUUAGCUUGGUUGGUGGCGCGUCUGCCUUGUAAGCGCUAGGCCGCGGGUUCGAUUCCCGUCCGGGGCG
rfam:Asian citrus Psyllid, Diaphorina citri - Florida Strain, whole genome shotgun sequence.